GCCGUCGUAGCUCAGCCCGGGAGAGCGCCCGGCUGAAGACCGGGUUGUCCGGGGUUCAAGUCCCCGCGACGGCA
rnacentral:tRNA from 2 species